GGUGGGUCCCAGCCUCCUGGAGGCCCGUGGCUGCGGCACCUUCUCGGCUCCAGGCCCAGUCACACCUGCGUUCUGCUGGGAGAGCGCUGCCUGACUUCAAAGCAGACCUUGGUGCCGUGAGGAGGGACAGGCAUUCCCACGUCUUUGAAGCUCCCCGGGACAGGACAGGACUCUUUAGGAGGCCUCUUGCAGGCCCUCCCUCCAUCUCCAUAAUGUGGUCAUUACCAAGACUUCCCCUCCCGCAGCCCCAGGCACGGCAGAUUCUGGGUCACUGACCCGGAGACCCGGUCUGUCCCCACUGGGCACAGUGCCAGCAUCCCACAGCGCCCUCUCCUCUGCUGGCCUUUCGCUGGCCUUGUGGGAUGGAGGAUGGAUUGAGGAGGGAAUGUGGAUGGUAAAGAGAAGAUGCAAAAGCAGAACAACAUCUAGCUCCAAAACCGAGCAGAGCAAAACCUCAGCGAACUCCCAAAAAGCACAACUGUCACAGACUGUGCCAAAGUCGGCGGCUCCCUCCGCCCUUGCCACGGCCUUCAAUACGAUCAGUUAUGGGAUUGUUCCCUCCCCCCCCCCUCCGGAAUACAUCUCUUCUUUGAAAAUGAAGUUGAUGAAAAACGA